AUGAAGAGAAGAUUCUUCUUUUGUUUUAUUCUAACUCUCCAUAUAGUGAGUUUGUUUGCAAAGAGGCCAUUUCUUUCAUCUCAUGGCAUUUCACAUUCACCUCAAGAAAAGGGUCCACUAUCUUCACCACCUUAUACCAUUGAAUCAAAAAAGUUGAAGGGUAUAAUGGGAAGAGAAGGAAUGAGAAAGAAAAGGGUGGAAGAAAAUGAUAGAGGAGUGAGUAAAAUAGGGUCAAGUCCACCAAAUUGUGAGCACAAAUGCUAUGAUUGUUAUCCAUGUGAAGCUAUUCAAGUUCCAAGCACAAGUAAUCAUUUGGGGAUUAUGUAUGCAAAUUAUGAGCCUGAGAGUUGGAAAUGCAAGUGUGGUCCUUCUUUCUAUAGUCCAUGA